GACCCCAGGUCAGGCGGGACUACCCGCUGAGUUUAAGCAUAUCAAUAAGCRGAGGAAAAGAAACUUACAAAGAUUCCCCUAGUAACGGCGA
rnacentral:rRNA from 1 species